rnacentral:rRNA from 1 species
CCUACGUGUGGCAGCAGUGGGGAAUAUUGCACAAUGGGGGAAACCCUGAUGCAGCGACGCCGCGUGAGUGAAGAAGUAUUUCGGUAUGUAAAGCUCUAUCAGCAGGGCAGAAAAUGACGGUACCUGACUAAGAAGCCCCGGCUAACUACGUGCCCGCAGCCGCGGUAAUACGUAGGGGGCAAGCGUUUUCCGGAUUUACUGGGUGUAAAGGGAGCGUAGACGGCCAUACAAGUCGGAAGUGAAAGCCCAGGGCUCAACCCGCGGACUGCUUUUGAAACUGCCGGGCUGGAGUGCAGGAGGGGUAAGCGGAAUUCCUGGUGUAGCAGUGAAAUGCGUAGAUAUUAGGAGGAACACCAGUGGCGAAGGCGGGUUCCUGGACUGUAACUGACGUUGAGGCUCGAAGGCGUGGGGAGCAAACAGGAUUAGAUACCCUUGUAGUC